rnacentral:misc_RNA from 1 species
GAUGGGUAAUCCCUGGGAAAUUGUAGGAAAUGAUAUUUCCUAUCUUGUGAAAUUCUAUGGCAAAGUCAUUUUGAAGCCAGAUGGAAGUAAACAAUGGAUUGGAGGGGAAAACAUAACAGCUGUCGCCUAUGAUGUGCCAAUUCCAGGAUAUAAAACUAAGACCACAAUAAACCUCCGGUUAUGGUCCACUAAAGUUGCUCCAGAAGAAUUUGAUUUACGUGCUUUUAAUGCUGGGGAUCAUGCUAAAGCAUAUGCAGCUACAAAGAAUGCAGAGAAGGUUUGGGAAUUCGCAAUAAUUAAAUCAUUUAGUUUCCACGAAUUUCUCUUCCUUUUCAGUCGACAUUUCUGUCAAAGGGUGUUUUCUCUGAUGUUUUUAUUGUAAUUAGAUUUGCUAUAUAUUAUGCCCUGGGGAUGAAUCAAUAGAGGGUAAGACUCUUCGGUUGAAGCAACAAUAUACGCUAUGCUCUGCAUCUCUCAAAGAUAUAAUUGCUCACUUCGAAAGAAGAUCAGGAGAAUCAGUGAAAUGGGAAAUUUUUCCUGAUAAGGUUGCAGUUCUGAUGAAUGAUACUCACCCAACUCUUUGCGUCCCAGAGCUGAUCAGAAUAUUGAUGGAUGUGAGAUCUUGGAGAUUUUAUAAUGCU